rnacentral:rRNA from 1 species
GACGAACGCUGGCGGCGUGCUUAACACAUGCAAGUCGAACGGAAAGGCCCUGCUUUUGUGGGGUGCUCGAGUGGCGAACGGGUGAGUAUCACGUGAGUAACCUGCCCUUGACUGUGGGAUAACUUCAGGAAACUGGGGCUAUUACCGGAUAGGAUCUCCUGCUGCAUGUUGGGCGUUGGUAAGUUUCGGCGGUUGGGGAUGGACUCGCGGCUUAUCAGCUUGUUUGUGGGGUAGUUGCAUACCAGGCCUUUGACGGGUAGCCGGCCUGAGAGGGUUACCGGCCACAUUGGGACUGAGAUACGGAGCAGCCUCGUAUGGGAGGCAGCAGUGGGGAAUAUUGCAGAGUGGGCGGAAGUCUGAUGCAGAAAAGCCGCGUGCGGGAUGACGGGCUUCGGGUUGUGAACAGAUUUCGAAUGUGCCGAAGAGUGAGUGACGGUACUGGGUCAAGAAGCACCGGCUAACUACGUG